UACGUAGGUGGCAAGCGUUGUCCGGAUUUACUGGGUGUAAAGGGCGUGCAGCCGGGAAGACAAGUCAGAUGUGAAAUCCCGCGGCUCAACCGCGGAACUGCAGCGCGAACUGGGGGGCUUGAGUGCGCCGGAGGUAGGCGGAAUUCGUGGUGUAGCGGUGAAAUGCGUAGAUAUAAGGAAGAACACCAGUGGCGAAGGCGGAUGACUGGACGGCAACUGACGGUGAGGCGCGAAAGCGUGGGGAGCAA
rnacentral:rRNA from 1 species